GAGGGAGAGGGAGGAAGGUGUGAGAAGAAAACCUCUUGGGGAACAAAGCAGAGAGAACUGGGACAGGCAGCAGCACUUUACCCACCUAGUGCUGGUUACCCACCUGCCCUGCACAAGGUUUGUCCUCAAGAACCUCAGGCAGACUCAACCUUUUUGUAUUUUUUAUUAAAACCAAAGCUUUAGCAACACCUUGUCCUUCUCUCCUGCAGUAAUUACCUGCUCUCCACCUCCUCCAAUCAGCCACGGCAGACACGAUGGGGAAGGAGUUGAAGUUUUUGCUUUUAACUCCACGGUGACCUACAGCUGUGACCCCAACUUCCAGCUGGUGGGGAAUGGGAGCCUCCAGUGUGGGAGCAGGGACAAAACCAGUGGGGUCUGGAGUGGAGCCACGCCCGAGUGUAAAGAGAAAAGCUCAGCUGCCAGACUUGGAGCAAAAGGCACGGAGAGGGGAGCUCCUCCCAAAAGUGAGUUGAAUCAAGUCCAUUUAUUUUUCUCCUUUGUCACGUUUCUAGGAAAGGCCACCCGGUGAAUUUCACCCCGUGAAUUCCAUUUCCUCAGGUGCCCGGGGAAAUGGAGCCCAGCCCUCUGAGAAGGCUCUGCUGUGGGAGAGGAAGCUCAGCCUCUAUAGAAAGGCCCUGCAAAACACCAUCCACCCCUCCCAGUCCUCCUCUUUCCUCAGGAAACCAGUGAGCAGGAACUGGGCUGCCUCAGAGUUCAGAUUUGUUCUACCUUUGUACAAACCCCCAAAAUCCUAUUUUGGGCCCAGCAAAGGAUCCAUGUGUCCUCUGAAGUACAUGGGGAUCCUUCCCCCACCUGGCUGCUUUCAGAAGUUAAAAAGGCCCAAAUUUCCAUCAUUUUGUGGAAGGAGCUCAUGCACAGCCAGGAGAAGCUGGACAUGGUGGAAGUUCUGGUCCUCCAAACUCCCCACCCGCUGCAGAGGAUAACUUUUAUCCAUGAAAAGGGUGAAUGUUGGCUUUGUGGGAAGUGCUGGCAGCUGUAAUUGAGUCACAGAAAGUGGGGAAGACACAACACCCACGGGAGGAUCUCAUCAGCUGGGGGAUGGUGAGGAGGGUUCCUCUGGUGUCAGGGUCAAGCUGAGUUGGCCCAUCCCCGAGUUUUGUCUUUUGGGUCAAAACCAGAAAAUCUUUUACCAUUCCUGACCUGUUCUAAAAGUGCCCCAUGCACUGGUCACACUCAUUGGGACUCUCACCUUGCUUUAAGGUAAAGGAUGACCUAAAUCAGGUCGGUCCCACCUAUGAGAUGUAAUUCUUUAAUGAUGAUGUUUUAGCAUUCCAAGAAAUCGAUGGAAAAUCAUUCCUAAAAGCAUUUAUUGGCUGAUUUCCAUAUUUGUUCCUCCCAUCCGAGUUUUCCUUUCAGUGGUUGCCUCCCAGCAUCCCGAUCCAGCUGUGAUUCCUGCUGAUCCCACCGGGCUUUCAGAGGCUGCUGCGGAGCUCCCCGGCUGUCCCGCCCAGCCUGACGCGGUGUUUCCAGGGCCGCAGGUUUUUCUGCUCACUGGCAACACCACAACAAACCCUAAACACAGCCCCAGCCCCCCUGCGGAGGGAGCUGCUCCCCUAACUCCCCAGGAAUUCCUGGCUGCAGCUGAUCCAGCUGUGGAUCCAGCUGCCAGCAGGGAAGAGCAAAGCAAGGACUUCCCUGUCCUGCAGAGUUUUAGCUCAUUUAUUUUAGGAAACCGUGGUACUUGGGAUAUUACAGUGUUUAAUCUUUAUAUCUUGAGUGGUUUAAGCCCUUUCUUUAGCAAAAGCUUCUUCGUGGAUCAGCCCAAAGUUCCUUGCAGUUUUUAUUUCUACCACAGGAAGAUAAAGCCGCGUGUGGGCUGGGUAUCUCUGAUCUCGUAUUGCAAAGGAGCCACUUCUGCUUUCCAGAGGGAGGGAGGCAGCUCAGCCCUGCUGUGAGCACCCCAACCAGGCACAGACCCAGAAAUACAGCUCCUAAAUAUCCUCCCCAGGGCUGCCACCCUGCGACAGAGGGACUGGAAAAGUCAUGUGUGUUCUUCAGGCUGCCUACCCCAAUUUUGUCCUGUAAACACCUAAAACUCCCCAAGCCUUUCUGGGUUUUUAUUUCUAUUUAGUAAUAAAUGGUAAUUGCUUAUAAAGGGCACUCAGUGAAUUCAA